rnacentral:sRNA from 1 species
ACUCGAGAGCUAGCCGAGUGAAUGGGUGGUGACUGUGGAGUUGGCGUCCUCAAUGUGGACGACCUGAGCUCCCAUUAGGAGCCGCUGGCUGCGGCAGCAGGGGACCAGCGUGAGAG